rnacentral:rRNA from 1 species
UACGGAGGGGGCGAGCGUUGUCCGAAGUUACUGGGCGUAAAGCGCGCGUAGGCGGGUUGCUAAGUCCGCUGUGAAAGCCCGAGGCUCAACCUCGGAGGGUCGGUGGAUACUGGCAGCCUUGAAGGUGGUAGGGGGAGAUGGAAUUACCGGUGUAGCGGUGAAAUGCGUAGAGAUCGGUAGGAACACCAGUGGCGAAGGCGGUCUCCUGGCCCACUCUUGACGCUGAGGCGCGAAAGCUGGGGGGAGCGAACGGG